rnacentral:lncRNA from 1 species
UAGAUCAAGAAGUACAAAACACCAUCACAGAUGACGCUUUCAUCCCCACCUCUCCACCCAGUUAGGACCUCAGUCAAAGGGGUUACCCACAUCAUUUUUCCAGAGUCGUAUAUGUGGAUUGAGAGAUCCCACUGAAAGAAGUUACCAGGUACUUGCUUAGAUUUAAUAAUGGUGACACUGUAACAGCAAUUUCCAGAGUCGUAUAUGUGGAUUGCGACAUCCCACUGAAAGAAGUUACCAGGUACUUGCUUAGAUUUAAUAAUGGUGACACUGUAACAGCAAGUUUUCUUGUUUACGGAGAUAGCCAAUGCACUGUAAUCAGAGAACUUGAAACCAGGAGGCUCAUCAAGGGUCUUG